rnacentral:tRNA from 1 species
GGCCAGUUAGCUCAUCGGUUGAGUGUGAUGCUGAUAACACCAAGGUCGCGGGUUCGAUCCCUGUUUGGUCC